AUUAUUUGCAUAAACGCCGCAAAAGUUUUUCGCAUAAAUGCUGCAAAAGUAAAGCAAUAGCAGCAUUUUUCCUAUAAACACUGCUAAUUUAUGUAAUUUUUAUGAAAUGGCACCGUUUUCACAAAGAAAUCAAGGAUUCUUUUUUUCUUUGAUAUCAUCUCCCACGAUUUACUUGCUUUCUUACUCAGUCUAUUGAUCCUUUUUCUUUCUCAUCUUUUUUCUUUGCUUGACUAAAAUUUACAAAAAAAAAAACCCGACUUCCUGGACUACUAACACCUCUUAGUUCUACUCUACAGAUAUAUUACCCUCCCGAUCCACAUUAUUUGAUUUCCAGAAACCCUAAACAUCCAAUUUUCCCCCUUUCCUCAGAGGCUGUAACCGAGCAAUCGAACUCACUCGCCAGCUUCCUUGCGAAAAUGGUUGUACACAAAUUCACCGUUGCUUUGAAUAAACACCUUGUCUUCCAAGUACCAAGAUUUCUGUAGCAAUAUGUUAUUUUUUCUGUUUGGAUUGUUCAAAACCUCUUCUAGUAUUAUUUUUUGGAGGUUGAUAGAAAUCUAACAAAAAGUUUCCAGUUUUAUGAUGGGGGUAGGGGAUAGCCAAAGGACAAUGUAGUGCCUAUGCAUGUCUUUUACUAUGACCAGUAGUGGCUCAAUCUAUAGCCUUUAAAAUAUCACUUAAUUUCCUCUGACGCAUGUAUAAUAUAUUUAACAACAUUGAAUAUCAUUAGGCGUGCUCUCAUGAUUCAAAAGUCUUUUGGUGUAAAAUGAAAAUGCAAAACUGAUAAUUUCUUUGAAGGUUAUUUCUUAUUUGAUAAGUGUUAAGUGGUGUCAUCGGAUAUCUAUUAAGUCUUUUGAUUUUAUUGUACUCUUAUAUUCAAGUUAAAUUCCUUUACUUAUUACCAAAUGGUUUUAAAUUGGAUGCUCAUCACUAAGAGACUAAGAGGAUGCAAAAUUUUCAUAAGUGCAUGACUGGUUCAAUGUUCUCAUGUGUUUGAAUGGACUUAUCUGGUUAAAGUACUAUGUUUCUUGAGCAUCUUGCUUUUGCUUUUUUUUUUUAAAAAAAUAAUUUUUGUUUGGAAAAUUGUGGUAGACUAGUUAAAGUUUGUUUGGUGAAUUUUAUGGCCAUUAUGGGGGCUAUGAAAUAGUCAAUGGCCAAAAUAGGUAAAUUUGCCUCAUCUUGAACUAAUAUCUUGUGUCAUUUUGGAAGAGCUGCAAAUUAUUGAUUUGAGGAGGCGAAAGAGAGACAUACACCUUUGAAUGUAAUCAUUUAUGGAAAUAUUGCUUAUGCUCAUUAUCCCAGGAACUUGCAGCCUUUACUUCCUUGUGGACUUUAAGUUCCAGUCACCACUCUAUCGCCAGGUGCACUAUCUAUUGAAAGAACUUGUAAGGAAGUCGAUUACUGAAACAUAGUGUUUUCAGGUUUGCUUAGAGUUGGAGAUCGUCGGAGGCAGCAUCACACUAUCAAGUCGCUGCCUUUGGAAAAAUGAAGUAUAUAUUAGAAAUUUUCAAGUGAAUGGCAUGUAUAGGGAUCUAGUUGAUUGACAUGCAUUAUUUUGCUUUGGUCAAAUGUGUUGGCUUAUAUUGAGUUAUAUGCAUAUGGCCAUGAGAGGUGGCUCAUAUUGAUUAUGGCUUGUAAGCAUAGCUAUUCAUGUCAUGUCUAAUGUUUAUAAUGUGAUUAUGUCUGUUUGCCAUGCAUGGUUAGUAA